GUGUCAGCAGCCGCGGUAAUACGUAGGUGGCAAGCGUUAUCCGGAAUUAUUGGGCGUAAAGCGCACGCAGGCGGCUUUUUAAGUUUGACGUGAAAACUCCUAGCUUAACUGGGAGAGGACGUUGAAGACUGGAAGGCUUGAGGUAAUGAGAGGGGUGCGGAAUUCCCGGUGUAGUGGUGGAAUGCGUAGAUAUCGGGAGGAACACCAGUGGCGAAAGCGGCACCCUGGCAUUGACCUGACGCUCAGGUGCGAAAGCGUGGGGAGCGAACGGGAUUAGAAACCCCCGUAGUCC
rnacentral:rRNA from 1 species